UCAACCUGCAUGUAGCUUGCCUGUUACUGAGCGCGCGUUAGCAAGCGGGGCGUGCCGCGGAAUGUCUUCUGCUGCUCCCCUCCGGGCUGACUCUGCGGCCGCUCUGAUUUGCGCUUGCACAGCCCGGCUGCCCAAGGGCGCGUUUGUUCAAGGGCACGGCCUCGCACUUGGAGCCUGAUCACCUAGCUUGAUAUGCGGGACUUCUUCAGUGGAAUUGAACAAACUUCCAGAGCUACAGCAUUAAUUGCAUCAAUGCUGCUGGAUUGAACAGGUAUCUUGGAACAGGACAGUCUGCCAGAGAAGAGGAUAUGGGAGAGUGGGGAACACAUCUAAGGUUUCCUCCAUUAUCUCUUCUUCCUCAUCAAGCAAUAAAAGAGGCUGUAGUAUUGUAAAAUGGGCUUCUCUGAAGCACUCCUGUAGAAGAGAAUAGGACUUCCUCCUGGAUCACAGUUCUGAUAGAGGUCCAUAUUUUAUAGAACAUCCCAGGACCACUAAGACCACAGAGGGUAGUACAUCCUUUGCUAGUCUUAAUGUGAGGUUCUGCUGUCUCUACAACAAAAUGCAUAGGGUGACAAACCUCAGUAAGAAUAUCAGCCUUUCAUGUAACUCUUCUAAGUAAGUGGAGGAGCAGUUCCUGUCAAUGUAUGCAGGGGUCUAGGUAAUGGGCACACCUACUGCUGAUCCUAUAGCAUUGAGAAAGAAAAUAUCUAAAGGAGCAAUUGGACGAAGCACAGUGGUACAUUGAAAGUGGAAUUGGAGCUAGCUGUACCAAUGGUGUCAGCAAAGCCAGCAGUGCCGAAAUGGAAGGAUGAGGAGACAAAGACAUCAAUGUUGCCAUGAAUUAUGCCGACAAUGCUAAUGGCAGUGCUGAGUAUUGCAACAGCAGCUCUGCAGGUAUUCUACUGCUAAGAAGGCCUGCAGAGUCAAAGGUAAGUGCAUAGUAGACAGUGCCAUCAGUCCCCAGUUUGUUGGAUGUAGAAAACACAAACAUGGUAAAAGUGAAAACCCCAGUCUGAAUGGCCCUGGGGAAGCAAGAGCUAAUACUGCUGCAUCAAACAGUGCUGGAGAAGGUUUAAGCUUGUAGUUAAGCUGUGACUCAGCACCAGGGAAUUUACUUGAGGGCUUCUUGUGAGGCAAAGACUGGGACUGGGAAUGUCCUUCAGAGUUGGUGUUUAUGAUUUAGAGCCGGUGGGGCAUGCCUACUCAAUGUGGAAUCUGAUUUCUAGUAGUCUAAGUCCAAUCCUAAUACAGGACAUAUUGACUCCUUCAUUAGAUGUAUCUUGAGGCAAAAAUCUCUUUUUUUCAUUCUGGUGGGAACAAGGUACAAAUAAAGUAUUUGUUUCUAACAAGCACCUCACCAAGGCAGAUGGAGUAGCUUUUGUGUCCAUCCUAACAGGGUAAUGGACAUUGAUCCUUUGGCGAAGUGUCUGAGACGUUUGUCCAAUGUACAUAGCAGACGUCUGCUAUGUA